rnacentral:rRNA from 1 species
GCCCAGACUCCUACGGGAGGCAGCAGUGAGGAAUAUUGGUCAAUGGGCGGGAGCCUGAACCAGCCAAGUCGCGUGAAGGAAGAAGGUACUUAGUAUUGUAAACUUCUUUUGUCAGGGAGCAAAGGCGGGGACGCGUCCCCGGACGAGUGUGCCUGAAGAAAAAGCAUCGGCUAACUCCGUGCCAGCAGCCGCGGUAAUACGGAGGAUGCGAGCGUUAUCCGGAUUUAUUGGGUUUAAGGGGGCGUAGGCGGACAGUCAAGUCAGCGGGAAAAAUGCGGUGCUCAACGCCGUACAGCCGUUGAAACUGGGAGUCUUGAGUGGGCGAGAAGUAUGCGGAAUGCGUGGUGUAGCGGUGAAAUGCAUAGAUAUCACGCAGAACUCCGAUUGCGAAGGCAGCAUACCGGCGCCCGACUGACGCUGAGGCACGAAAGCGUGGGUAUCGAACAGGAUUAGAUACCCUCGUA